AUUGAACGCUGGCGGCAGGCCUAACACAUGCAAGUCGAACGAGUGGCGGACGGGUGAGUAAUGUCUGGGAAACUGCCCGAUGGAGGGGGAUAACUACUGGAAACGGUAGCUAAUACCGCAUACCAUCGGAUGUGCCCAGAUGGGAUUAGCUAGUAGGUGGGGUAAAGGCUCACCUAGGCGACGAUCUCUAGCUGGUCUGAGAGGAUGACCAGCAACACUGGAACUGGGACACGGUCCAGACUCCUACGUGAGGCAGCAGUGGGGAAUAUUGGACAAUGGGCGCAAGCCUGAUGCAGCCAUGCCGCGUGUAUGAAGAAGGCCUUCGGGUUGUAAAGUACUUUCAGCGGGGAGGCGUUACCCGCAGAAGAAGCACCGGCUAACUCCGUGCCAGCAGCCGCGGUAAUUC
rnacentral:rRNA from 1 species